UCUGGGCGUAAGGGCGUUGUAGGACGGUCUUGGCGGCGCUCCCAUGAUGAAACACCACGGCUCAACCGGGGGGGAGCGUGGGAUACGCUCAGGCUAGACGGCGGGAGGGGGUGGUGGAAUUCCCGGAGUAGCGGUGAAAUGCGCAGAUACCGGGAGGAACGCCGAUGGCGAAGGCCGCCACCUGGCUCGUUCGUGACGCUGAGGCGCGAAAGCGUGGGGAGCAAACCGGAUUAGAUACCCGGGUAGUCCACGCCCUAAACGAUGCGCGCUAGGUCUCUGGGUUUUCUGGGGGCCGAAGCCAACGCGUUAAGCGCGCCGCCUGGGGAGUACGGCCGCAAGGCUG
rnacentral:rRNA from 1 species